CUCUCCCCGACGCUUCCGCCGGCGGCCCAGUCCCUUGCCCUGGGACCCCAGCCUGUAGUGUUUGGAGACCCCGGCUCCUCUUCUAUUUCUCUUGAUCUGGGGUCCGGCUGGCGAUAGUGUCCGCGGUGCGCCCCUUUCUCUUGGUCGUUUAUGACCUCCACGUCGUCUUUUCUUCAGGUGACAUCCAGAAGGCAACUAAAAAUGUGAAUCUGAAGCUCUGGAAACAGCAUCAGAUUGGAACUACAGAUUUGAGAGCCUUGAGAAUUUAUUACAUCACUCAUGAAGAACACGCGCGAAAGCUCACCAGUUGACGGGAUGCUUGGGGAUUUGCAACCGCCUCAUCGCUGCCCCCUACCGGCGCAUAUUCAAAACGUCUCUGCGAAAAGCUGUUAUUACCUUCGGAGCCAACAGGGGCUGCUCGUUUACCCACAGACAGUCGGAAAAAAAUGGCCGCCGGAUCACAGAGAGCAAAAAGCAGGGCUAAUCUUCCGAAGAGGAAUCCCACUACUGCCUCCUUAUAAGGGAAAAACUCCUCUCAGAGGAACCCAGAACGCCCUGUGAUGACAGAGGUGAGGGGCCAGCGUGGCAGAAUGCACCACCCUGUCUCCUCGCUUGCUUCUCUCUCCGUCGGAUUGCCAAAAAGGGAACGGCACCUAGACGCCGAAAAGUAACUGAAGCAAAGGGAGUUUAAAGAACGCGCCCAGCCGCCUGGGUCUUGAACCCAGUGUUAAUGAGAGCAAAAACCUCUGCAUCCUCCACUGAGCUGUCCUUGAGCAUGUCUCAUAAUCAUGCUUCAUUUUAAAAACAGAAAUAAGUGAGUAAGCUAUGAAAGAAGACAACCUUUAAAUUUUUCAAAAGUUCUUGGUGGUCUGUGAUUAGAAAUUUCAUCUAUAUGAAAUAACUGUUUUGGAGGGCUUACUGUUAAAUUCAGGCAUUUUAGGGCCAGUGGAAACUGGUUAAGCAUUCACAUCAGUCUUAACAUUAAUCUGAUAAUCUACUGGGAGUUUAAAGACUCUAAGCACUAAACACAGAUUUUCCUCACUGUCUAUAAAAUGAAAGAGGAAAGAAGCAUUGUACUAAAUUUUUUAUAAAGCUAAUUGUAUUCCCUUUUUUUUUUUUGAGGUAGUUCAUUGCAUUUUGAACAAGGAUAACUGUCAGAAAAGAUCCUCUUUGAAUAAAACAGGUAUCUCCCCCAUGGCUGCUUCUGGGUCUGCCCUCUGCAACCACAUGGAAUAGGUCUGAUUCCGGUUCUUCAGGACAACUUUUCAAGAAUUAAAAAAUCACCUCCAAAUGAAUGCAUUUUU
rnacentral:lncRNA from 1 species